rnacentral:rRNA from 1 species
CCUACGGGAGGCAGCCGUGGGGAAUCUUCCACAAUGGACGAAACUCUGACCCAGCAACGCCGCGUGAGUGAAGAAGUAUUUCGGAACUUAAAGCUCUGUUAUCAGAGAAGAGCAUGAACGUUCCUGACUCAGCCUCCCCGGCCAACUUCGUACCAGAAGCCGCGGUAAUACGUAGGGGGCACGCGUUAUCCGGACUUAUUGUGGGGAACGGGAGCGUAGACGGUUCUGCAAGUCUGAUGUGAAAGCCCCUGGCUUAACCGCGGAGUGUCUUUGGAAACUGUGCGACGGGAGUGCAGGAGAGGCGAGCGGAAUUCCAUGUGUAGCGGUGAAAUGCGUAGAUAUAAGGAGGAACACCAGUGGCGAAGGCGGCUUUCUGGUCUGUAACGGACGUUGAGGCUCGAAAGCGUGGGGAGCAAACAGGAUUAGAUACCCUUGUAGUC